AUGGAAACUGCGCAGAGCAGAGCACAAGUAAACUGGAGCCUGUGGCUCUCUGAACAAGUCGUGGGGUCCCGCGACAAAGCGGCGGACCUGCAGAGCUGGGGCCUGAGCCAAAAGUGGGCCCGAAGAAGUGUGCAUGUGCGUGUCACUUCUCAGAGCUUGGGGGCCCCAGCCCGGCCCAGCAGCAGGCCUGGCGGUGACCAAAUGGGACCUAGAACCCCAGCUCUCGGCAAAUUUGGCGGUUCACUUUGUACCACACACGACUGCCAUAAAACCUUCUACACUCAGCACACAGGUUUCAAGACAUUGAAAGAAUUGUCAUCAAAUGACAUCCUUUUACUUCAGCUUAGAACUGGAAUGACACUUUCUGGAAAUAAUACAAUUUAUCUCCAUCAUGUAAAAAUUUAUAUUGACAGAUUUGAAGUUAUUGAAGUCAUGUUGUGACCCAUUUAACAUACACAAGAAGCUAGCCAAAAAUAAUCUGCAUGUAAUUGACUUAGAUGAUGUCACUUUUCUGAGUGCAAAGUUUGGAAGACAGCUCGUACCUGGUUGGAAGCUUUGCCCAAAAUGUACCCAGAUCAUCAAUGGAAGUGUGGGUGUUGAUUCAGAUGCCAGCCAGAGAUAGAAACCCAAGUCAGAUGGAAGGACUGCUAAAUCUCUGAGGUCACUACAGUUUAAAAACCCAGGAAAGCAAACUGAAUUUGCUCCAGAAAGUGGUAAAAAGGAGAAAAGAAAUCUCACCAAAAAUGCAAGUGCUGCUUCCGACAGACAAAUUAUUACAGCAAAGAGUAAGGUGUAUGACAACCAGGGCCUGCUGAAUUUCAGUGGCAUGGACCUCUGCGACUUCUUAGACAAAGACUGCUUGGGAUGCUUCUAUGCCUGCCCCACUUGUGGCUCUACCAAAUGUGGGUCCAAGUGCCAAUAUGACCACAAGUGGCUAUAUGAGCAGAUAGAGAUUGAAGAGAGAGAGAUAAUCCAUAAUAAACAUGCUGCAAAAGCAUAAGGUAUGUUAUCUCCCUGUCACCCACAUGAUAUUUUACAAAAAUGA